UAACACAUGCAAGUCGUACGAUGAUAGCCCAGCUUGCUGGGUGGAUUAGUGGCGAACGGGUGAGUAACACGUGAGUAACCUGCCCUUAACUCUGGGAUAAGCCUGGGAAACUGGGUCUAAUACCGGAUAGGAGCGUCCACCGCAUGGUGGGUGUUGGAAAGAUUUAUCGGUUUUGGAUGGACUCGCGGCCUAUCAGCUUGUUGGUGAGGUAAUGGCUCACCAAGGCGACGACGGGUAGCCGGCCUGAGAGGGUGACCGGCCACACUGGGACUGAGACACGGCCCAGACUCCUACGGGAGGCAGCAGUGGGGAAUAUUGCACAAUGGGCGCAAGCCUGAUGCAGCGACGCCGCGUGAGGGAUGACGGCCUUCGGGUUGUAAACCUCUUUCAGUAGGGAAGAAGCGAAAGUGACGGUACCUGCAGAAGAAGCACCGGCUAACUACGUGCCAGCAGCCGCGGUAAUACGUAGGGUGCGAGCGUUAUCCGGAAUUAUUGGGCGUAAAGAGCUCGUAGGCGGUUUGUCGCGUCUGUCGUGAAAGUCCGGGGCUUAACCCCGGAUCUGCGGUGGGUACGGGCAGACUAGAGUGCAGUAGGGGAGACUGGAAUUCCUGGUGUAGCGGUGGAAUGCGCAGAUAUCAGGAGGAACACCGAUGGCGAAGGCAGGUCUCUGGGCUGUAACUGACGCUGAGGAGCGAAAGCAUGGGGAGCGAACAGGAUUAGAUACCCUGGUAGUCCAUGCCGUAAACGUUGGGCACUAGGUGUGGGGACCAUUCCACGGUUUCCGCGCCGCAGCUAACGCAUUAAGUGCCCCGCCUGGGGAGUACGGCCGCAAGGCUAAAACUCAAAGGAAUUGACGGGGGCCCGCACAAGCGGCGGAGCAUGCGGAUUAAUUCGAUGCAACGCGAAGAAUCUUACCAAGGCUUGACAUGUUCUCGAUCGCCGUAGAGAUACGGUUUCCCCUUUGGGGCGGGUUCACAGGUGGUGCAUGGUUGUCGUCAGCUCGUGUCGUGAGAUGUGGGUUAAGUCUCGCA
rnacentral:rRNA from 2 species